rnacentral:rRNA from 1 species
AACGAACGCUGGCGGCAUGCCUAACACAUGCAAGUCGAACGAGACCUUCGGGUCUUGUGGCGCACGGGUGCGUAACGCGUGGGAACCUGCCCUUAGGUUCGGAAUAACUCCCCGAAAGGGGUGCUAAUACCGGAUAAUGUCUUCGGACCAACGAUUUAUCGCCUUUGGAUGGGCCCGCGUUGGAUUAGCUAGUUGGUAGGGUAAAAGCCUACCAAGGCGACGAUCCAUAGCUGGUCUGAGAGGAUGAUCAGCCACACUGGGACUGAGACACGGCCCAGACUCCUACGGGAGGCAGCAGUGGGGAAUAUAGGAAAAUGGGCGAAAGCCUGAUCCAGCAAUGCCGCGUGAGUGAUGAAGGGCUUAGGGUUGUAAAGCUCUUUUACCCGGGAUGAUAAUGACAGUACCGGGAGAAUAAGCUCCGGCUAACUCCGUG